GCUUGCAGGGUUAUUGUGGAGCCUAAAUGAGAUAAUGCAUAUUUGUACAUAGCACAGCAUUUAUCAGAAGCCCAGUAAAUGGUAGUCAUUAUUAUUUUGUGUGACAUUUCCCCUCCUUCUUCCCCUAGUGUAUUCACGGUUGGCAGAUGACUGCUGGCUUCUCCAGGUCCCUCUUCAGUGUUCUACCUGAAACUCUGCCACAAACUCUAGCCAGUCUCUCUGUCAUGUGCCUAAAAACUUAACUGUCCCAUCUAUUGAUCCCUUGAAGUCCUGAAUGGAUCUGAAAACAAUCCCAUCAACAAAUUGCCUUGGGAAAAUUCUGAAUGUUAUUUAAACAAGCACACUGAGACAUUGUAAAAGCAAAACACAUUCAUGAUUAUCACUUAAAAACUCAGCAAUACCUAUUUUGGAGCUCUGCUUAAAAGUAUUGUGAAGAGGAAAGAUAAAAUGACAAAGACUUGAAAACAAAAAAAUCUCCAGCUUGGAAACAAUGAAUAAUGGUAAGACCAGAUAAUCUUGUUUUCUCUCCUGCCUAAGUCUAUAUUUUCAUGCCCAUGAGCCUGGACAACUCAGGGAGUCACCCAAGGUGCCCUCCAUCUCUCGUACUUCUGCUGCUAGUUACCAUGGCGGUUAUGUCUGGACCCUGACCCUCUUUUAUUUACUGUUGGGUAAGGUCUGGCCAACUGAAGGCUCUGGCCAGUGAUAGUAUCAAAAGGAGGGAUAAAUUCAGCUUAUAUUGCUAUGAUCUUGGCUCCUUGAUGAAGAAUGUCCUGUUUUCUUUUUAAUAUACACCUGUCAUUCCAAAUCUAAAAUUGUCUGAUGCAUCAUAAUAAGGAACUAGAGUAGCCAUUCCCUCCUGUUCCCUCCAAAAUAUCUGAUUGAGGGGAAAAAUUUCUGUGAUACUGGAGAAGUUAUAUUUCUUUUAUGUCUUUAUCUAUAUGAUGAUAGGGAGGCAUUACACUCUUUCGAAAACACACAAGUAGAUCAUGGACUAACAUAAACUAAUAUAACUAGGACUGAAGAAUCUGAAUGAAGUCAGGGAAUGGGUACACAUAUGCAACAUUGAUGGUGAGAGAUAACUUUAUUGACAAAGUAUUAAAAUUAGGGGUUUUAUCCUGAAUCAUUUAGCUGAGAAUUUAAAUAAAUAUGAAGAAGGGCUCAAAUGUAUUGUCCUUGUUAUGCUAAGAGGUUGUAUAAACUGGAAAUACAAAACAAGCAAAGGGGGCUUGGAAAAAUCCAUGACUGUUAAAUCAACAGAGGAAUAUAAAAGAAAGUAGGUGCACCUGUCCCGGGUCAACAUGCUAUCGCGAGUUAGUCUGCUCGGAAUCAGACUUCCUUAAUCCGUAAAUCGGACUGUUCUUUGGCUUUCUGGCAGAGAAGAAUUGGGGCAGUAUCUAAAUGAAAUCUAUAAUACAAUGUUUAUGAAAGUUUGAGCUUCUGCUAAAUUGAUUUGACUAAUUUACCUAUCUGAUGUGGUUACCUAAACGAAACAGAAUGAUGAGUGCUCCUCUUCUACUAGAGAUACUGAUUAAUCUUCAAAAGCGUUCAGGAUGAGUUCCUGUGUUAAAGAUUCAGUGAGUUGUUUUUUUUUUUUUUUUUUUUCCUGAAGAGAAUAAGGGUUUAUUUCACUAUUAUAUUACCUGCAGACAGCAGGGUUUGUAGGAAUGAGGUAAAAGAAAAGCAACUGACUAUGGGGGGUUGCGCAAAAGGGAGCUGAGGGAGAAGCUGUGGGAAGACUCAAGCAGUGGGGUUUGGGGGGUUUUUCCUUAGGAAAGCAGGCUUCUGGGG